rnacentral:rRNA from 1 species
CACGUAGGGUGCGAGCGUUGUCCGGAAUUAUUGGGCGUAAAGAGCUCGUAGGCGGUGUGUCGCGUCGGCCGUGAAAACCUGCAGCUUAACUGUGGGCUUGCGGUCGAUACGGGCAUCACUGGAGUUCGGCAGGGGAGACUGGAAUUCCUGGUGUAGCGGUGAAAUGCGUAGAUAUCAGGAGGAACACCGGUGGCGAAGGCGGCUAUCUGGACAGAGUCUGACGCUGAGGCGCGAAAGCUAGGGGAGCAAACAGG